UCACUGGACUGAGAGGAGUAUCUGAGAAGCUGACGCUCUCCUCUUUGUCUCCGGUGAAG
ensembl:miRNA